UACGGUGGGGGCAAGCGUUGUUCGGAAUUACUGGGCGUAAAGGGCUCGUAGGCGGCCAACUAAGUCAGACGUGAAAUCCCUCGGCUUAACCGGGGAACUGCGUCUGAUACUGGAUGGCUUGAGUUUGGGAGAGGGAUGCGGAAUUCCAGGUGUAGCGGUGAAAUGCGUAGAUAUCUGGAGGAACACCGGUGGCGAAGGCGGGUCUCUGGGCCGAUACUGACGCUGAGGAGCGAGAGCGUGGGGAGCGAACCGG
rnacentral:rRNA from 1 species